UACAGAGGUCUCAAGCGUUGUUCGGAAUCACUGGGCGUAAAGGGCGCGUAGGCGGCUUGCCAAGUCAGGGGUGAAAUCCUGCAGCUUAACUGUAGAAGGGCCUUUGAUACUGGCGAGCUCGAGGGAGGUAGGGGUAUGUGGAACUUCCGGUGGAGCGGUGAAAUGCGUUGAUAUCGGAAGGAACGCCGGUGGCGAAAGCGACGUACUGGACCUCUUCUGACGCUGAGGCGCGAAAGCUAGGGGAGCAAACGGG
rnacentral:rRNA from 1 species